UACGGGGGGAGCAAGCGUUGUUCGGAUUUACUGGGCGUAAAGGGCGCGUAGGCGGCCAGCGCAAGUCAGUUGUGAAAUCUCCGGGCUUAACUCGGAACGGUCAACUGAUACUGCGCGGCUAGAGUGCAGAAGGGGCAACUGGAAUUCUCGGUGUAGCGGUGAAAUGCGUAGAUAUCGAGAGGAACACCUGCGGCGAAGGCGGGUUGCUGGGCUGACACCGACGCUGAUGCGCGAAAGCCAGGGGAGCGAACGGG
rnacentral:rRNA from 1 species